CUGGUGUCAGCCGCCGCGGUAAUACCAGCACCCCGAGUGGUCGGGACGAUUAUUGGGCCUAAAGCAUCCGUAGCCGGUACUGCAAGUCUUCCGUUAAAUCCACCUGCUCAACAGUUGGGCUGCGGGGGAUACUACAGCGCUAGGAGGCGGGAGAGACAAGCGGUACUUAAUGGGUAGGGGUAAAAUCCACUGAUCCAUUGAAGACCACCAGUGGCGAAGGCGGCUUGCCAGAACGCGCUCGACGGUGAGGGAUGAAAGCUGGGGGAGCAAACCGGAUUAGAUACCCGGGUAGUCCCAGCUGUAAACGGUGCAGACUCGGUGAUGGGCUGGCCUUGUGCCAACCCAGUGCCGCAGGGAAGCCGUUAAGUCUGCCGCCUGGGGAGUACGGUCGCAAGACUGAAACUUAAAG
rnacentral:rRNA from 2 species